rnacentral:lncRNA from 1 species
CCUGUCCCCAGCUGGAAAAGCAGCAGGAAGGAGGAAAUCUGAAAAAUGGCACACUCUGAACCAGGGCAGAGUGUGGAUUUUCCCGCUGGUCUGCUGGACUCCACUUUGCUGAAUUCCUGGAGGGAAAGAUGUAAAACCCAGCUGGAUGUGAGGGAGCCAUCAGCACAAACUCCUCAGCCAAAAUAGGAGCUGAAGACCCAGAAAGUGGUGGGGUAGAGCUGUGAAUCCUAGCAACAGGCGGGGAAAGAACUGUACAUUUCUUCACGUCCUCCAAGUGUUGGUGCCUUCUGGUACAUCAUUGACAGGAAGAGACAGAGACCAUGGAAAGGCCCUCCUUGCUGAUGCAUCAAGAAAGGGCACAUUUUUUCCAGUGGGAUGGGUAGCAAAGGAAAGUGGUACUUUGAAGAAUAAACCCCUCUGCCUUCAGAACGAAGCUCAGGCUGCACAGGAGGCUGGAGCAACUUACAGCUUCUAUUCAGGCUCCUCUCUGGGCAUGCUGGGUGACCUUGUGUUCUCCCAUUUUCCUCUGGGGGAGAUAUUAUUUAUCCCUGAUAAUAAAACACAGGAUUCUUCAACUGCGACUCACGGUUUAAUCUAUUGUGUCAACUUACACAAGCUCCCUUGGAAGAAAAGAAAGAUCAGAGGCAAUAAAAGGAGUAAAAAAUGAAGCAUCUUUAACUGAAGCUAUACAACUUUCAUCUGAGGUCAGGCCCGUGUUGCC